rnacentral:rRNA from 1 species
UAGGGAAUAUUGCUUAAUGGGCGAAAGCCUGAAGCAGCAACGCCGCGUGUGCGAUGAAGGCCUUUGGGUUGUAAAGCACUUUUUGGAGGGAUGAGGAAGGACAGUACCUUCAGAAUAAGCCUCGGCUAACUACGUGCCAGCAGCCGCGGUAAAACGUAGGAGGCGAGCGUUAUCCGGAUUUACUGGGCGUAAAGCGCGUGUAGGCGGCUCGACAAGUUGGAUGUGAAAGCUCCUGGCUUAACUGGGAGAGGUCGUUCAAAACUGUCGGGCUAGAGUAUGAGAGAGGGAGGUGGAAUUCCGGGUGUAGUGGUGAAAUGCGUAGAUAUCCGGAGGAACACCAGUGGCGAAAGCGGCCUCCUGGCUCAAAACUGACGCUCAGACGCGAAAGCUAGGGUAGCAAAC